rnacentral:rRNA from 1 species
UACGGGGGGGGUAAGCGUUGUUCGGAAUUACUGGGCGUAAAGGGCUCGUAGGCGGCCAACUAAGUCAUACGUGAAAUCCCUCAGCUUAACUGGGGAACUGCGUGUGAUACUGGAUGGCUUGGAUUUGGGAGAGGGAUGCGGAAUUCCAGGUGUAGCGGUGAAAUGCGUAGAUAUCCGGAGGAACACCGGUGGCGAAGGCGGCAUCCUGGACCGGCAUUGACGCUGAGGAGCGAAAGCCAGGGGAGCAAACGGG